UACGUAGGGGGCUAGCGUUGCUCGGAAUUACUGGGCGUAAAGGGCGCGUAGGCGGAUAUCUAAGUUGGGGGUGAAAUCCCGGGGCUCAACCUCGGAAUUGCCUUCAAAACUGGAUAUCUUGAGUUCGGGAGAGGUGAGUGGAACUCCGAGUGUAGAGGUGAAAUUCGUAGAUAUUCGGAAGAACACCAGUGGCGAAGGCGACUCACUGGCCCGAUACUGACGCUGAGGCGCGAAAGCGUGGGGAGCAAACAGG
rnacentral:rRNA from 1 species